GCUGUGCUUUGGUUUUAAGCAUUAAAUAAUGCUUAUGUUCUGCUUUCUAGAUUUGUGUGCAUUCUGCACGGAUUUCAUUGUGUCUGAAUUAUGGAUUCAAACCUCUUGGCAUAUCAGGUUUAAGAUUUCUGGUCAUGAUCUCUAUCUUUUCAUCAUCAACAUGUGCUUAUUUGAUACUAUUAACUUGAACUUCUCAACUAGGUGUUUGUAGAGAGCCAAGAUUAUGGUAUAUAUGGAGAACGAGUUAGGAACGCCUGUUGGGGUUACCUAUGUCAAAGUAGUGCCAAAGGACUUAAGGAGGUGACAACUACAAAUGCCUGUAACACCGUGACAUAUGAUGUGAACUUUUUUUCUUGAACUACCUUUUGAACAUGCAACUUAAUUCCUUAA